AACUUUUAACAACGGAUCUCUUGGCUCUCGCAUCGUGGAAGAACGCAGCGAAAUGCGAUAAGUAAUGUGAAUUGCAGAAUUCAGUGAAUCAUCGAACCUUUGAACGCACCUUGCACCCCUCGGUAUUCCGAGGGGUAUGCCUGUUUGAGUGUCAUUAAAUUCUCAACUCGUUUAAAUUGUCGUAAUGACGAUUUGAAGACGUUGGAUGUGGGGGCUUUUGCUGGCUUUUCAUUAAGUUAGCUCCUCUUAAAUGCAUUAGUGGUUACUGUUCUUUUCCACUUUGGUGUGAUAGUCUAUCUACGCCUAUAAGUGAAAGAUGUUAAGUGUAGCUGCUUUCAAACCGUCUGGGUUUUACUGGACAAUUUGAACUGUUUGACCUCAAAUCAGGUAGGAUUACCCGCUGAACUUAAGCAUAUCAAUAAGCGGAGGCU
rnacentral:misc_RNA from 1 species